AUAAAACUUUCUUUUGACCUCUAUGCUCUAUGCAGAGACAUCACAUCUGUUUUGGGGCCGGUAAAGUUGUGGAUAAUAGAAUGAAAAUGAGAAGAAAGCAAAAAUGCUUCCUUAGGAACAUGCUGAAGUAGUGAUUCCAAGAUGAAGAGCGCAGAUGUGGAGCUGGUUUCCUGCCUCCCUGGCUAUGCCUGGCUUCUAUACCCAGGGUUGCCCUACCAAUCAAGACAUGGCUGGAAAAAGUAAAUUCAUGGAAACAUCUAGAUUAUUAUGGUAUUCAAACAAUGCUAUCUUAAGACCCCUAUAAAAGCUCAAGUGGACUUUCGUUUUUUAAACAUACAUUUCACUUAGGAGCAAGAAAAAGAUAAGGUGAAGAGUUAGGUAUAGAUAAAAGAAAAUGUUAUGGUGGCCUCAUUCUAUAUUUUAGUUUUUAGAGCAGUUUUAGGUUCACUGUAAGUUGAGAGAAGCCCACAGAGUUCCCAUCAGCCCUCUGUCCCA
ensembl:lncRNA